rnacentral:misc_RNA from 1 species
GGGAUGACUCUUUCUCUAUAUGGCGCUGUUCUUAGACAGAGGGCAUCAGAAGUUAUAUCAGAAGAUCAAGUGCAAUCUGCGACCUUUUUCAGAGAAGCUGCCGGGGUUUAUCAAUAUCUAGCUAAGGAGAUUCUUCCAGCCAUUCAACAUUGUCUGCCUUCUGAAAGGCCACCAGAAGUUAUUCCAUCUACUUCUGCUGUGAUGAGUCUGGUUUGUUUAGCUGAGGCUCAGGCUGUCACAUCGAUGAGGGCCGAAGAAAAGGGAACUAUUCCCAGUCUUUUGGCAAAG